UACGUAGGGUCCGAGCGUUGUCCGGAAUUAUUGGGCGUAAAGGGCUCGUAGGCGGUUGGUCACGUCGGGAGUGAAAACUCAGGGCUCAACCCUGAGCGUGCUUCCGAUACGGGCCGACUAGAGGUAUGCAGGGGAGAACGGAAUUCCUGGUGUAGCGGUGGAAUGCGCAGAUAUCAGGAGGAACACCGGUGGCGAAGGCGGUUCUCUGGGCAUUACCUGACGCUGAGACGCGAAAGCGUGGGGAGCGAACAGG
rnacentral:rRNA from 1 species